rnacentral:lncRNA from 1 species
AUAUUAUUCCAAACUCAAAAUUAAGAAUAUAUAGAGUCUGGCUACUGUACUAUCGAUAGCAUGGAGGUCUCUGUGCUACCGAGUUGUUUUCGAUGAUGCGGCUUCCGAAUCGAUGAUUUGCUCCGUUAAAUAUAAUCUACGCUAUUGUAAAUAUUUGAAAACUAAAUUUAAUAUUUUCUCUACAUUAUUUGACAAGUGAUCAAAAGGUCAAAAAAAUUGAUAUUUUAAAAGCUGUGAAUUUAACAGUGCAAAACAAUCCACAUUUGAAAAAAAAAAAUUAUAGAAAAUUCUCUUCACUAUUUAGAAUAAGAUUAGUACUUCUGAUCUUAAAUUUAAGUCUUUUAUCAUUAUUUUUUAUGAGAUUUUUAUUUUUAGCUGUUUAUUUUUAGAUUAUUCAUUUGAUAGAUAAAUAAUAUCGAAAGAUUAUAAAAUUUGAUUUUCAAAUAUUUUUAGUAGUGCGGAUCAAGUCUAACGGAGCCGAUCGUCAAUUGUGAUGUCGCAUCAUCGAAAACAACUUAGUAGUACGGAGGCUUCCGUACUACCAAUAGUAUAGUAGCCGGACUCGUCUAGAAUUAAAUUUUAGAAUAGUACUAUUCCACUAAAAAAAUAAAAUAAUUUAUUUCAAAUUAUUUUGAAAUAAUCAAAAAUCAUAAAAUUUGAUCGGAAACUAAAAAAUAUUUUAUUUGAUGAAAUAGCCAAGAUAACUUUCGCUAUUUUAUUAUUUUAUUUCCAAACUAGAUUAAGGAUGCAAAUGUGGCGGAUCCGGGGAGCGGGAGAGUUCCUCCACCUCCCGCUCUAUUUCUCGCCAGGGUGGGACGGAUUCAGGGCGGGUUAUUUUUUAUUUUAAUUUUUACUCCUACUUACCGCUCUAUUCGGGACAGAUCAGGACAGAAGCAGAUUUUAGGCAGAUUUUUGACGGAUCGGAUCGUAUUGAAGGAAAAAAAGAGUUUCUCGCCUUCCACUCCAUUUAUGUGGCGGAUCAAGACGGAUUCGAAAUGUGUUAUAUUGUUCUAUAUUUUUUAUUCUCACUUACUGUCCUAUUCGAAACAAAUCAAAACGGAAG